CAAAGAAGAGAAAAAAAGUGGCUAAAUAAUAUUCUGCAUUUUUUAAUUGGACCUCGAAUAGUUAGGCUACAUUUGCUCUUCUCCUUCCUGCAGGAAUGUGAUACAUACUAAUGCCUACCGACAUCAAGCCCAUAACAUGAGCCUUCUAUGUCUGGAAUGAACCAUCCGCAAAGCACAAAACCUUUUAUUUCCGAAGGCACAAUGCAUUCUCACUUGUGAAUAUGAAAUACAGAUGCCUGUGUGACAGGAAGUCGGAAAACAACACAGAACAGGCGCUGUCAAUAGCUACCGUUUCCAAACAAGAAGAGUCACGCUGUCAGCACUUUUCAAACGCCAGCUUUCAGGCAGUCAAUUAGGUUCAAGGUGAGACAAAAAUGUGUUGUCAUUUAAACGGUUUUGCUCCAUUGGGGCGGUGCAUCAAUUCAGUCAUCUCCAUUCCAGAGGUGACAAAGGGCUGGCAGGGAAGUUUAUAUUUGCCAGUAGAUACACAGUUCUGCUGUCAUUACACCAACCUGAGAUGAAGUGGGGAUUUGCAGGUGCGCACAUUUAAAAUGCGCCAUUCCCUGCGAGCAAAGCUUCAUAAAGACGGGAAUAAAAAAACAAAAACAAAAAAAGGGGGGCUACCGCCGAGGAAGCUGCUGGCUGAGGUGCAGCGCCGGCCCCCUCCUACUCCCACGCUCCUAAACCCAAUCCCGUGCCAUCGAUUAGGAAAAAAUCAAUUUAAGUCACAAGCUCAGAGAGGAGACGCUAAAAUGCUGCAAUACAUUUUGAAGUUGCAAAUGGAAUGAGGUUUUGAUGAACUCCACGAAUUCACCUUGGUUUAAUAAAUGACAAAUAUGCCCUCUCUUAAUUAAGAAAAAGAGAAAACGACCCUCGUGCGAUAGAAGCAUAAAUCUUUCAGCGCGGAGCUAUCCACGUGUAUGAAAACACUUUAAUUAUCUGCCUUCAAAGAAAAAAAAUAGUGUCUGCUCUCAGGAAAUCUUAUCAGGUAUGAAUGGAGAAAUGGUAUUUUAAUUUAAAAACAUUAAGCAGGAUAUUGUAAUGCACAUUUCUGCGAGGCAUUCAUGUUUUGUGUUCAAUUACAAGCUCUUUUGAACUGAAAGCAUGUCAGAAAAAAAAAUGUUAUAAUGGAUUUUUUUAUAACCCACAGAUAACAGCGUAACACUAUUAAAAUUUAUGUUUUUCAGUUUGCUCGGAUCUUUUCAAAGAUGUUGAACUGAAGCGUGGAUAGAUACCUG
ensembl:lncRNA